rnacentral:rRNA from 1 species
GACGAACGCUGGCGGCGUGCUUAACACAUGCAAGUCGCGCGAGAAAGUGGGGGCAACUCCAUGAGUAAAGCGGCGCACGGGUGAGUAAUACGUAGGUAACCUACCCUUGAGACCGGGAUAACCUUCCGAAAGGAGGGCUAAUACUGGAUAAGACCACGGGGCUUAGGCUCUGCGGUCAAAGGUGGCCUCUGCACGCAAGCUACCACUCGAAGAUGGGCCUGCGCACCAUUAGCAGUUGGCGAGGUAACGGCUCACCAAGGCGAAGAUGGUUAGCUGAUCUGAGAGGAUGAUCAGCCACACUGGGACUGAGACACGGCCCAAACUCCUACGGAGGCAGCAGUGGGGAAUAUUGGACAAUGGGCGCAAGCCUGAUCCAGCCAUGCCGCGUGAGUGAUGAAGGCCUUAGGGUUGUAAAGCUCUUUUACCGGGAAGAUAAUGACGGUACCGGGAGAAUAACGCCCGGCUAACUUCGUGCCAGCAGCCGCA